rnacentral:pre_miRNA from 1 species
CAAUCUCCACAGGCUGGCUCAUCUUCAGGUUGAGCUGGGCUGGAUGCAUGUCUCUUCAAAAGGCUCAUCCUCAAACAAGACUAGGAGC